GCUUCUAGGGGUACAAUACAAUGAUAACGACUACUACGAGUGUUCAAAAGGCGUCUAUUGCCAGGUUGCAGAAUUUCCAGCCAUAAAAUCAAUAGGCCUGAACAAUAUGUGGAUGGAUGUAUUCAUCAUGGCUCUAAUGUUAGUGGGAUACCGGCUAAUCGCUUAUCUAGCACUCAAUCGUGUGCGAUGAAAACGUGAAGAGGGAACCAUUUCAAGAGCAAAAUCAAAUGGUUUUUUUUCCGUCAACAACAACAUAUAGUAAUAAUGUUAGAUUUAGAUUAUGAUCACAUUGCCAGAUUUUAGAUCAUAUACACCGAAAAUUCCAAUGUAGUAGUACCACUCUGGCAAUGUUUUACCUAA
rnacentral:misc_RNA from 1 species